rnacentral:lncRNA from 10 species
GCCGUGACCAACUUCUGGGGCCAGAGAUGCACCAGUCUAUGCCACCACUGGCUCUUUCUGUUCAAUAUAUCCAACUGCAUCAGCAACAGCACAUGAAGUCCCCAGGAAAGGGAAAUAAUUGUAUUCUAUUUGAAUCUGUAGAGCCAGUUGUUCCAGUAAACUACCAUUUUCUACCUUCUGCCUCCCGAAACCCAUCACUAAUGGGAAUAAACACCAGGCAAACCUACAACUUGAACCUACCAGUGGAUGCUCCGAUAAAUUGGCUCAUUGAAACACUCGGAACGUUUAUCUGAUAAUCACCAAUGGGCAGACAAGCAGAAUGCAUACAUCUUCUACCAGAAGUCUUCAAUCCCUGGGCUGGGCUGUACCAGUCUGGUGAACUCUAUUGUGAACUGCACAUUCGAGGGAUCUAGACUGUGUGCUACUUAUGCGAAUCUAAUGCCUGAUGAUCUGAGGUGAAACCGUUUCAUCCUGAAACCAUUCCCUGCCCCCACCCCACAGUCCACCCUCUCAAUCUAUGGAAAAAUUGUCUUCCAAGAAACUGGUCCCUGGUGCCAAAAAGGUUGGGGGCCACUCUUCUAGAGUGUAAUAAUGUUCUAAUAAUACUCAUAUUUGUAUAGUUCUUUAAAAAAUUACAACUCAAAAUUCAACAAGGGUUUCAAAAACAAGGUACAUAUAAAGUGGGGAAAUUCAGCUCAUUAAGAAAGAUUUAUCCGUUCUAUAUGUGUACAUCAACUCAUGUUUAAUGCUCCCAAAUAAUAAGGGUACUGUUUAUAUAACACUGUUCAUCUUUAGAGUGUUUCACUAAUAUUAUCUAAUUAAUAAGCAUAGAAAAAUCCUGCUGUGUCCUCCAAAGCUGUCAAAGUCAUUUCUAUGAUUUGAAGCCUAAUUAAAUUCAAAAUAGAUUUGUUUCUUCACCAUAAGAAUUUUGCAGCAAUUAAUUAAACAGUAUAAAAAUGUAAGAGGCAUAUUAUUUGAAUAAUUCUAAUUUCCGUGAAAUUCUCUAUGUUUCAGAUUUGUUGCCCAAGACUACCCAGAUCACUUUCUUAUCUCUAAAUUUUUACAACCAAUUUAUUUACCUUCUCAACUGGUAACCUAAACUUCUUAUUUUGCCUACGUAAAAGGAACGAUGUAGAAGUGAUAGGUCACACACACAUACUAAUUUAC